rnacentral:rRNA from 1 species
UCGAACGCUGGCGGCGUGCUUAACACAUGCAAGUCGAACGGAAAGGCCCUGCUUUUGUGGGGGUGCUCGAGUGGCGAACGGGUGAGUAACACGUGAGUAACCUGCCCUUGACUUUGGGAUACCUUCAGGAAACUGGGGCUAAUACCGGAUAGGAGCUCCUGCUGCAUGGUGGGGGUGGAAAGUUUCGGCGGUGGGGAUGGACUCGCGGCUUAUCAGCUUGUUGGUGGGGUAGUGGCUUACCAAGGCUUUGACGGGUAGCCGGCCUGAGAGGGUGACCGGCCACAUUGGGACUGAGAUACGGCCCAGACUCCUACGGGAGGCAGCAGUGGGGAAUAUUGCACAAUGGGCGGAAGCCUGAUGCAGCAACGCCGCGUGCGGGAUGACGGCCUUCGGGUUGUAAACCGCUUUCGCCUGUGACGAAGCGUGAGUGACGGUAAUGGGUAAAGAAGCACCGGCUAACUACGUGCCAGCAGCCGCGGUGAUACGUAGGGUGCGAGCGUUGUCCGGAUUUAUUGGGCGUAAAGGGCUCGUAGGUGGUUGAUCGCGUCGGAAGUGUAAUCUUGGGGCUUACAGCGGCAGCGUGAAUUCGAUACGGGUUGACUUGAGGAAGGUAGGGGAGAAUGGAAUUCCUGGUGGAGCGGUGGAAUGCGCAGAUAUCAGGAGGAACACCAGUGGCGAAGGCGGUUCUCUGGGCCUUUCCUGACGCUGAGGAGCGAAAGCGUGGGGAGCGAACAGGCUUAGAUACCCUGGUAGUCCACGCUGUAAACGGUGGGUACUAGGUGUGGGGUCCAUUCCACGGGUUCCGUGCCGUAGCUAACGCUUUAAGUACCCCGCCUGGGGAGUACGGCCGCAAAG